CUGGCGUUCGGUACACCGAUCUAAGUGUUUAGUGGUGAACGGACUAAAGCGUGACACGUCCUGACCUCUUUGUCUCUUUACCCGCAGGGAAAUUCGGAGGAGUUCUGUUCUUUCGUCGCUCUGGUCCGAGGCAGCAAUCGCAGCUGAUUAUUCCAAACGGGUGGGGGCAAAGGGGGCAUUAAUUUCACUGGUGUGUCGGUGAGGUAAAACCGCAGCAUCGGGCAGCAUGUUGGCACCUGCGUGAUCCCACCAAAGAAGCCUCGUUACUCGUUCUCUUUCCUGAGACGUCAACCACAGGAUGAGGCCUGCGGCAGGUCUCGGGAGAGAGAAUGCUCCAUGACUUUCACACCUUCGACCUCAAGCUCUUGAACUCUUUGGAAGUUUGCUUGAGUGCUGAAAGGUAAGCUGCUAAAGUCAAUUCACAUGCAAGACUCACUGAUUAAAUAACAAAGAUGGGCUCAUUUCAUUUCAAAUUCAGUUUCCUCCUCUGCUCAUUCCUAGAACUGUGCUAACGUUGGUUUCAGUGGAAGCACAGAGGUCAGAGAGCAAAGGGCCUCUCGCUCUUUUCUCCCCGCUGUUUAAUUAGCGUGGUCUGAAAAAUCAGGGUGCCGCUUAAGCAAUCGCGAAUCCUGCCCAGCCAACAAAAAAACAUUAAAAACUUGUUUUUA
rnacentral:lncRNA from 1 species